rnacentral:piRNA from 1 species
UCACACGUAAUAUAAGGAACAAUACAGAU